rnacentral:rRNA from 1 species
CCUACGGGGUGCACCAGUGGGGAAUAUUGCACAAUGGGCGCAAGCCUGAUGCAGCCAUGCCGCGUGUAUGAAGAAGGCCUUCGGGUUGUAAAGUACUUUCAGCGGGGAGGAAGGUGCUGUGGUUAAUAACCACAGCAAUUGACGUUACCCGCAGAAGAAGCACCGGCUAACUCCGUGCCAGCAGCCGCGGUAAUACGGAGGGUGCAAGCGUUAAUCGGAAUUACUGGGCGUAAAGCGCACGCAGGCGGUCUGUCAAGUCGGAUAUGGAAUCCCCGGGCUCAACCUGGGAACUGCAUUCGAAACUGGCGGGCUAGAGUCUUGUAGAGGGGGGUAGGAUUCCAGGUGUAGCGGUGAAAUGCGUAGAGAUCUGGAGGAAUACCGGUGGCGAAGGCGGCCCCCUGGACAAAGACUGACGCUCAGGUGCGAAAGCGUGGGGAGCAAACAGGAUUAGAUACCCCAGUAGUC